GAUCAGAGGAGUUGCUGUAAGGCUUUUUACGCGCAGCUGUAUUUCGGAAAGUUGUAGUUUCAAAGAUUUCAUUGAAGAUAUCAUGGCGAAUAAAUCAUGUAAAGCGAAGUCAAACUCUAACGUGAGAGUGAAAAAGUGAAAGUGAGAGAUUUUUUGUUUGAGGAAUCUUGGAGUGUUAUGAUUCAAACGAACUGAGGAGCUGUUUUCUGCAAGGACAGGACGUACUUCUGGACGGUGAUAGCGACUCCGACUAGGAGCCCCCGGUGCCAAGCUGCCCGCUCUACCUGUGUCCCCAGUGGUGUUCAUAUGCCACAGUUCAUUACUGCAGGCAUGACUGUGCCUCAGGGCCAAAAGGGCACAGCAUGGAGGCAUCGUUGUGUUCUGUGUCGCAUGAAAUGCACCACCUGUUCAGUUUGCCUCUGCUUUACAUCAGAAAGAGACUGCUAUGGGACAUGGCACAGGCAGCAUAACAAGGACUUCCAAGGGGUGUACUGUUUUUUAUAUAUAUUCAUAUAUUUAUUUUCUAUUUUUUGUGUGUGUGUGUUAGAAUUGCUUUUUGAUAUGUUGUAUAUAGUCAUUUGCACUGGUGUAUAUAGUUAUAGGUCAAUUUACCAAUUCGGCCACUUGGGUACAUUUGGGCAACUUGUGUGGGACACCUGGGUGACUUCAUGCUAAAUGUCAUGUAGCUCACCCAUUCCUGAAGUUAUCAGUCUGAAACUUUGCACACCUACAGCACCUAUCUGACUGUGUGGCUAUUUGAGUACACGUGAAAGAUGAUACUACAACAAUAAAAAACAGAAAACGUA